rnacentral:rRNA from 1 species
AGCAGCCGCGGUAAUUCCAGCUCCAAUAGCGUAUAUUAAAGUUGUUACAGUUAAAAAGCUCGUAGUUGAGUUUCGGGGUCAGUAGGUUGGUCAUGCCACUGGUAUGUACUGGUCUCACCGAUUCCUCCUUCCUGAUGAACUGUAAUGCCAUUAAUUUGGUGUUGCAGGGAAUCUGGACUGUUACUUUGAAAAAAUUAGAGUGUUUAAAGCAGGCUAACGCCUGAAUACAUUAGCAUGGAAUAAUGAAAUAGGACGUUCGAUCCUAUUUUGUUGGUUUCUAGGAUUGACGUAAUGAUUAAUAGGGAUAGUUGGGGGCAUUAGUAUUCAAUUGUCAGAGGUGAAAUUCUUGGAUUUAUUGAAGACUAACUACUGCGAAAGCAUUUGCCAAGGAUGUUUUCAUUAAUCAAGAACGAAAGUUAGGGGAUCGAAGACGAUCAGAUACCGUCGUAG